rnacentral:tRNA from 1 species
GGUGGCUCAGUGGUAGAGUGCUUGCCUUGCAUGCACGAGGCCCUGGGUUCGAUUCCACAGCACCA